rnacentral:rRNA from 1 species
UGCAAGUCGAGGGCGAGACAUAAAAGUAGCAAUACUUGGUGGCGACCGGCGCACGGGUGAGUAACGCGUAUGCAACCUACCUAUCAGAGGGGAAUAACCCGGCGAAAGUCGGACUAAUACCGCAUAAAACAGGGGCACCGCAUGGUGAUAUUUGUUAAAGAAAUUCGCUGAUAGAUGGGCAUGCGUUCCAUUAGGUAGUUGGUGAGGUAACGGCUCACCAAGCCGACGAUGGAUAGGGGAACUGAGAGGUUGGUCCCCCACACUGGUACUGAGACACGGACCAGACUCCUACGGGAGGCAGCAGUGAGGAAUAUUGGUCAAUGGGCGGGAGCCUGAACCAGCCAAGUCGCGUGAAGGAAGAAGGAUCUAUGGUUCGUAAACUUCUUUUGCAGGGGAAUAAAGUGCAGGACGUGUCCUGUUUUGUAUGUACCCUGAGAAUAAGGAUCGGCUAACUCCGUGCCAGCCGCGGC